rnacentral:rRNA from 1 species
UACGUAGGGUGCAAGCGUUAAUCGGAAUUACUGGGCGUAAAGCGUGCGCAGGCGGUGAUGUAAGACAGUUGUGAAAUCCCCGGGCUCAACCUGGGAACUGCAUCUGUGACUGCAUUGCUGGAGUGCGGCAGAGGGGGAUGGAAUUCCGCGUGUAGCAGUGAAAUGCGUAGAUAUGCGGAGGAACACCGAUGGCGAAGGCAGGUCUCUGGGCUGACACUGACGCUCAUGCACGAAAGCGUGGGGAGCAAACAGG